UGGACAUUUAAUUUUUUAUUGUUUCUUCUCAAUGUGAAGAUAACACAUGUAAAUGUUCUAGAGAAAUAUAGUAGCUCCUUUCUGUUCACCCUUUGAAGUAAAAAGGGUGCAUUGUUGCACUACUGACAUUA